ACCUGACAAAGCAAAGCCCUAUUCAGCCAUGAAAGGGAAGGCCUUAGCGGUGGUGGCCUUAGUGCUGGCCCUUCUGACCUUGGGUGAGGGAGGAUGGACUUCAUCCAAACUCCAAAGCAUGGAACAAAUGAAUGGUGUUGAGGCCAAGCAAGGUGAAUCACCUCUCUUCAAGGGCCCCGUUCCGUGCUAUCCGGGCGAAUGUGCCAGAUCUUGUAGAAGCAAGGGCUUCAAAAACGGUUUCUGUCGUGGGGGUGGGGUGAUACCACAAUAUUGUGCAUGCGUUAAUUCUACGAAUUUUAUGGGUAGAAAAGGAGGUAAUGAGGGUAAAGACGAUGUUGGUGAUGGUGGAAGCAAAUCCUUGUUUCUAGAGGAUGAGGCGAUGAGUCCAUGAUAUUGUCGAUGACUAGCUAGGCUCUUGAGAGCUGAGAAUUAAUUAAUUACUCACAACUUGGUAUGUGCUUGAGAUUUAGUUA